CGAGCCGCUACCGUACAAACACGCGACGUCCCGCACACAUUUCAGCUGGCAGAACCUUCCACCGAGCCGAACACGUGAGCGUGGGACCGGUUCGGCUCGAGCACGCCGCGAGGGAAAACCGUACACGAAGUGGUUGCCAAGGGAAAAGGUCAUGCCAGGAAUACGGCACGAGGCGACGGGAGCGCGCACGCCGCCAGUCCGGAAGCAACUUCGCCACCCAUGGGUGUCACCUGGGUAUGACAUGCUGACUGACGUUGCCAAGUCACUUUCAUUUUUGACAUUUUAAAAAAAUAUAUAUAUUUUUAUACUAAAGUAUAGAUGCGUUAUAUAUGUGUGUUUUUUAAUCCUGGUUAUGUGGACAUAAUUUUGACGGAGACAUGUGCAUCCAUCGACCUCUGAACCAACAAUGAGGAGACCAGAGAGAGAGAAAGCCUCCGAGGCAUUUGAUUGACAGUUUACUUCCGGCCAAUGGGAAAGCGAAAAGCCUCUGAUUGGCUGUAAGAGAACACGUUUCCUGACAUGUUUUGCAUAUUCUCUUUCAAAAGCAGUUCUCGAGUUAGACGCUAGAUGGCAGUGUCGCAUUUUGUUAGUACAGUAUGAACGCGUUCAUUUUUAUUUGAUCCAUUUAUUUUAUAUCCUUGAUAUCCUGUUUAUAAUUGUACUGGUUAGCCCAAAAGUGGCACUAGUGGCGGGGUUAGUAAAGAACAAAGCAUGUUAGUACAUGGACCUUAAAGUGAGUGUGGGUGAGAUCGAAUCAAUAUGUUCAAAGGCCUUUGCAAUCCAGUUUCUUCAAAUGUCAUAAAAUGUACAAAGUCUUCUUCUUUUUCUUUCAGCUUGUUUUUAUCUAUUGAUUUAUUUGACCAGCCCUGUUCGUGUUACCAUGGUGAUACUAUGUUAAGAUAAGCUAAGGUAUUAAAACUUUGAAAAAUC